rnacentral:lncRNA from 1 species
CUCUUCUCUUCCAGAAACCACCACCCAAAGACCACCGGCGAACCACCACAUGCAUACCGAUAAAUCGACCAGCACGAGCCCAGUGGACACCGCCUCUGCUCUCCUCUCUUCACUCCUCCAGCGAGGCUGAAGGAAAUAAGAGCAAGAGUAUUGUUGCUCCCACCAACAGGCUUCAACGGAAACGAAAUCUCUAUCCAAUGACCAUGGUGAACCACCAUGGUAAUAGCCAAAUUGAAUAAAAAAAUUGAGUUCGGAAGUUCGAUUAUGAUUUAACAGACCUUUUCCCGG